rnacentral:rRNA from 1 species
CUGCCAGUAGUCAUAUGCUUGUCUCAAAGAUUAAGCCAUGCAUGUCUCAGUACAAGCCAAAUUAAGGUGAAACCGCGAAAGGCUCAUUAAAUCAGUUAUGGUUCCUUAGAUCGUACCCACAAUUACUUGGAUAACUGUGGUAAUUCUAGAGCUAAUACAUGCAAACAGAGCUCCGACCGGAGACGGAAGGAGUGCUUUUAUUAGAUCAAAACCAAUCGGUGGCGGGUUCGCUCGUCAUCGUACAACUUGGUGACUCUGAAUAACUUUACGCUGAUCGCACGGUCUCGCACCGGCGACGCAUCUUUCAAAUGUCUGCCUUAUCAACUGUCGAUGGUAGGUUCUGCGCCUACCAUGGUUGUAACGGGUAACGGGGAAUCAGGGUUCGAUUCCGGAGAGGGAGCCUGAGAAACGGCUACCACAUCCAAGGAAGGCAGCAGGCGCGCAAAUUACCCACUCCCGGCACGGGGAGGUAGUGACGAAAAAUAACGAUACGGG